GACGAACGCUGGCGGCGUGCCUAAUACAUGCAAGUAGAACGCAGUUGCGAACGGGUGAGUAACGCGUAGGUAACUGCCUGGUAGCGGGGGAUAACUAUUGGAAACGAUAGCUAAUACCGCAUACUACCAGAUGGACCUGCGUUGUAUUAGCUAGUUGGUGAGGUAACGGCUCACCAAGGCAACGAUACAUAGCCGAGCCGAGAGGGUGAUCGGCCACAACUGGACUGGGACACGGGCCCGAAUCCCAAGGGAGGCAGCAGGAGGGGAUCUUCGGCAAUGGGGGGAAACCUGACCGAGCAACGCCGCGUGAGUGAAGAAGGUUUUCGGAUCGUAAAGCUCUGUUGUUAAGGAAGCGGUACUUAACCAGAAAGGGACGGCUAACUACGUGCCAGCAGCCGCGGUAAUAC
rnacentral:rRNA from 1 species